GCAGGACACAACCUGCAUCGUCUGUAUGGAGCCCGUGGGGGACAGCAUGUCCUACAGCACCAUGGUGUGCCCAGCCUGCCGACACGCCUGGUUCCACCGGGCCUGCAUCCAGGAACAGGCCCUGCGUGCAGGCUUUUAUUGCUUCCAGUGCCCCCUCUGCAGAGACCGAGACUGGUUUAUUACAGACAUGCACAUUAUGGGGAUCCGAAUCCCAGUCAGAGAACCAACGUGGGAGGACAACGAUGCCU